rnacentral:rRNA from 1 species
UACACGAGCGGCGAACGGGUGAGUAACACGUGAGCAACCUACCCUCAACUUUGGGAUAAGCCUCGGAAACGGGGUCUAAUACCGGAUAAUACUGACCGUCUCAUGGUGGUUGGUUGAAAGUUCUGGCGGUUGGGGAUGGGCUCGCGGCCUAUCAGCUUGUUGGUGGGGUAAUGGCCUACCAAGGCGUCGACGGGUAGCCGGCCUGAGAGGGCGACCGGCCACACUGGGACUGAGACACGGCCCAGACUCCUACGGGAGGCAGCAGUGGGGAAUAUUGCGCAAUGGACGAAAGUCUGACGCAGCAACGCCGCGUGAGGGAUGACGGCCUUCGGGUUGUAAACCUCUUUCAGCAGGGACGAAGCGAGAGUGACGGUACCUGCAGAAGAAGGACCGGCCAACUACGUGCCAGCAGCCGCGGUAAUACGUAGGGUCCGAGCGUUGUCCGGAAUUAUUGGGCGUAAAGGGCUCGUAGGCGGUUCGUCACGUCGGGAGUGAAAACUCGGGGCUUAACCCCGAGCCUGCUUCCGAUACGGGCAGACUAGAGGUAGGCAGGGGAGAGCGGAACUCCUGGUGUAGCGGUGGAAUGCGCAGAUAUCAGGAAGAACACCGGUGGCGAAGGCGGCUCUCUGGGCCUUACCUGACGCUGAGGAGCGAAAGCGUGGGUAGCGAACAGGAUUAGAUACCCUGGUAGUCCACGCCGUAAACGUUGGGCGCUAGGUGUGGGGGACAUUCCACGUCCUCCGUGCCGCAGCUAACGCAUUAAGCGCCCCGCCUGGGGAGUACGGCCGCAAGGCUAAAACUCAAAGGAAUUGACGGGGGCCCGCACAAGCGGCGGAGCAUGCGGAUUAAUUCGAUGCAACGCGAAGAACCUUACCUGGGUUUGACAUAUAGGGAAAUCCUCCAGAGAUGGGGGGUCCGUAAGGGUCCUAUACAGGUGGGUGCAUGGGCUGUCGUCAGCUCCGUGUCGUGGAGAUGUUGGGGUUAAGUCCCCGCAACGAAGCGCAACCCUUCGUCCUAUGGUUGCCAGCACCGCCC